GAUGAACGCUGGCGGCGUGCCUAAUACAUGCAAGUAGAACGCUGACGGAGGAGCUUGCUCUUCUGGAUGAGUUGCGAACGGGUGAGUAACGCGUAGGUAACCUGCCUGGUAGCGGGGGAUAACUAUUGGAAACGAUAGCUAAUACCGCAUGACAACAGUUAUUGCAUGAUAACUGUUUAAAAGGGGCAACUGCUCCACUACCAGAUGGACCUGCGUUGUAUUAGCUAGUUGGUGAGGUAACGGCUCACCAAGGCGACGAUACAUAGCCGACCUGAGAGGGUGAACCGCCAAACUGGGAAUGAGACAAGGCCCAGACUCCUACGGGGAGCAGCAGGAGGGAAUCUUCGGCAAUGGGCGGAAGGCUGACCGAGCAACGCCGGGUGGGUGAAGGAGGUUUUCGGAUCGGAAAGCUCUGUUGUAAGAGAAGAAAGAGAGUGAGAGUAGAAAGUUCACACUGUGACGGUAUCUUACCAGAAAGGGACGGCUAACUACGUG
rnacentral:rRNA from 1 species